CCCAUCCCACGUCACAGACAACUUCUGGUGGAGCUCAGUCACAAAGUAUAGGCAAACUGGUGCAUGCUGUCACAGCAGCAACACGGGAGAUUUCUCAUGCUGAAUAGAAGUCAACAGGGGGAAGCCAGGCAACCGACUCUUCCUCCAUGGGAUGGAGCAAUGAAUUCCAUAGAUUGAACUGGAAGUUAGCUAGCAGAUGCAGUGCCUUCAGAUCCAAUGGUGCUUAAGAGACUUCUCAUCUUUGGGGCACAAGGGUUUGGAGGACUUAUUUGUCUCUGACUUUGGAAAUCCUCACCACCCUGUAUGGUACAAGAUUUGGCCUUUUCACCUGAAUUUAUUUGCUAUGUGUGGUGACUGCAUUGCUAUCUUCAUAUCAAAGGAGUGUGAGCCAGAAGCUCCAGGAAAACCAUGACCGUACCAUUUCCAUUAGAGUCAACAGAUUCAGCCUUUUGAUUGAUGAAACAUCUACAGUCACAGGAGACAAAGUAGUCAAUAAGAACAAUGAACUCUGUAUCUAUUGAAACCCCUCAAUACCAUCUUAACUGACAACAUCUCAUAUUGAAUCCAGGCUUGUGACUUUAACAUCAUUGUCAUUUUUUCCUGUAUGAUUUUAACAUCUUUUCCUGAUGAAGAAGCCAAUGAAUCUUUGAAAAGCAUUCAUAACAUAUUUUGUUGAUUUUGUUAUCAACUGUUAGUUGAUUAUGGAUUUUAUUCCUAUCUGGGUUUGAUUGUUGUUGAUCCUUUUUGUAGAACUCCUCUGACUAAGCUUCACAUGUAGUUCUUCAGUAAGCUACUGCACAACACUAUAACAUUUCCUCUGUCAACAUGGAUUUAGCCUUAAUAUAACUGAUGCAUGGAUUUUGACUUACAAAAAUCUGACCCUUGCUUUGCUUGGAAUUGACCCUAACAAUAUCUGAAUAUAGACUUCAAUUUUGUAUUGUUUCUCUUCCUGGUGUCCAAACUAGUGACUUGAACCCUUCCUUCUGAGUUGAGAGUUGAUCUAAGGCUUCUGCCUGGAGCAGAAGAGAUUUCAUUGUAAAAUGAUGUACAUGUUUAACCUUCAUGGUUUCUAUCAAGUUCAGUGGAACUAAAAUAUGAGGAUGAACAUUCCUUUUCAUUCUUGAUUGAUGUGUAGUACACAGGUAAGAGAAGAUCUGAUU